UACGAUGGGGGCUAGCGUUGUUCGGAAUUACUGGGCGUAAAGCGCACGUGGGCGGAUUAGUAAGUCAGGGGUGAAAUCCCGGGGCUCAACCUAGGAACUGCCUUUGAUACUGCUGAUCUUGAGUCCGGAAGAGGUGAGUGGAAUUCCUAGUGUAGAGGUGAAAUUCGUAGAUAUUAGGAAGAACACCAGUGGCGAAGGCGGCUCACUGGUCCGGUACUGACGCUGAGGUGCGAAAGCGUGGGGAGCAAACAGG
rnacentral:rRNA from 1 species